GACGAACCGUGCAAACGUUGUUCGGAAUCACUGGGCUUAAAGGGCGCGUAGGCGGCGUGACAAGUCACUUGUGAAAUCUCCGGGCUUAACUCGGAACGGCCAAGUGAUACUGUCGUGCUAGAGUGCAGAAGGGGCAAUCGGAAUUCUUGGUGUAGCGGUGAAAUGCGUAGAUAUCAAGAGGAACACCUGAGGUGAAGACGGGUUGCUGGGCUGACACUGACGCUGAAGCGCGAAAGCUAGGGGAGCAAACGGG
rnacentral:rRNA from 1 species